ACGCGGCGCCGCGAGGCCGGGAGCCCGGCAGGGCCGAGCCGGGGAUGGGGGGCCGCGCGGGCUGUGUGGGGGUUGUUUGCAGCCUCUCCGCCCCUCUGCAACAGAUGUUCCAGCCGUGUAAGACAAAGGCACAGCGCCUGCUGCUGCCGGGAGAAAAUCCGCAGGACUCCCUCAGGGGCAGCCGCCCUCGGAAGUCAGCCGAGUGAAGCAGCUGUUCCUUGCACACUCCACUUGACCAAAGAUGAUGAUAAAUGAGGCCGGGGCUGCGUCGGGGACGCGGCGGCGGCUGCGAGGGGCGCGCACGGCGGGGCGCACAGCCCGCAGCCCCCUCCCGCCCCUCGGGAAGGGCGAGGAUGCGAAGGACAGGGGCCGAGAGACAAAAUCAGAGGCCCGCGCUGCCCUCCCGGUGCCCUGCUCGGCCCCGGCACCCGGAGAUGUGGAGGAACCCGGCGGAGAGGCUAGUGGAUUGAGCUCAGUGUCCUCUUCAGCUGGACAGAACGAGGGCCAGCUGCCAGGAGGAGUCAGCUCCCCAGCAUCUUGCAAUGGGUAAGAGGGGGAUCAUCCCCCCAUUUUGCAGAUGAGUUAACUGAGACCCCAAGGGGGAGGGGCAACCAAACCUGUUUCCCUGUACAUGUUCACUGGGUACACAGCCUUGGGGGACACAGCAGCCAGGCCUGGCUGAAGCCCUAUGCUGCGUGGGUGCCUGGUGCUGCCAGGGCCAGGUAGAGCAGGCCCUCGAACAACAUGCGUUUGAACUUCACGGAUUACAUAUUUUUAUAUGCAGAUUGUUGUCAAUAACAGUUACGCGGAGUGUGCCUACCGCUCCUGCCUCUGCCGCCCCGAGACCGCAAGGCCGGCCCCUCCCUCCCGGCCUCCCUCCCACUCAGCCUCCUCGGCAUGAAGACUUUCGUGAUGACCCACUUCCACUUCAUGCUGAAUAAAUAUAUUUUCUCUUCCUUA